CACUCCUACGGGAGGCAGCAGUGGGGAAUUUUGGACAAUGGGCGAAAGCCUGAUCCAGCAAUGCCGCGUGAGUGAAGAAGGCCUUCGGGUUGUAAAGCUCUUUUGUCAGGGAAGAAACGGUGAGAGCUAAUAUCUCUUGCUAAUGACGGUACCUGAAGAAUAAGCACCGGCUAACUACGUGCCAGCAGCCGCGGUAAUACGUAGGGUGCAAGCGUUAAUCGGAAUUACUGGGCGUAAAGCGUGCGCAGGCGGUUUUGUAAGUCUGAUGUGAAAUCCCCGGGCUCAACCUGGGAAUUGCAUUGGAGACUGCAAGGCUAGAAUCUGGCAGAGGGGGGUAGAAUUCCACGUGUAGCAGUGAAAUGCGUAGAUAUGUGGAGGAACACCGAUGGCGAAGGCAGCCCCCUGGGUCAAGAUUGACGCUCAUGCACGAAAGCGUGGGGAGCAAACAGGAUUAGAAACCCGAGUAGUCCCAUG
rnacentral:rRNA from 1 species